rnacentral:rRNA from 1 species
UACAUUAGAUACCCGUGUAGUCCUAGCCGUAAACGAUACUCGCUAGGUGUCGGCCACGGUGCGACCGUUGUCGGUGCCGUAGGGAAGCCGUGAAGCGAGCCACCUGGGAAGUACGGCCGCAAGGCUGAAACUUAAAGGAAUUGGCGGGGGAGCACCACAACGGGUGGAGCUUGCGGUUUAAUUGGAUUCAACGCCGGAAAUCUUACCGGGACCGACAGCAACAUGAAGGCCAGGCUGAAGACUUUGCCGGAUUAGCUG